ensembl:lncRNA
AGUAUACCGCAGACAUCAUUUCUACUACAGUGGCGGAGCCGUACAGGACCUGUUUCACUGCAGGGGGAUCCAAAACAAGCCCCGUGGAGCAGCAGCCAGAGCUACAGCAGCCGCAAGACACUGUUUCUCUCCCUCUGCCCCCCCUUCCCCACGCAACCCCAGAUCCAUUUACACUUUACAGCCGAUCGUGCAGCAGAUCGCCAGGGUGUCCCAUUCAAGCUGCAGAUUUGUCUGUCAUCGUCGGACGGCGGCGGCGGCGGUGGCGGCAGCGGUGGCGGUCCCCUCUUCCUCGUCCGCGGCAGGGAAGUGUGUCUCACAUCAGGUCCCAGAGAGUGCUGGUGGACAUCCGUCCUUGCCCCAGGAUCUUCGUUGGAAGUCCCCGGGACUUGGUGUCUGUGCCGUUCACAGUAUAUAUGAACUCACCAGGAGGCAUAAUGCGUCACCAUUUUGUUCUGGGCCACCCUAAAGGAUGACACCCAGCUCCAGAGACCUCCUCUUGGACAUCACCCCUGAGAUCCAGUGUGUUAGCUCCCCAUUGUCUGAGCUCCCUUUCCGACCGAGUGUGAGCCGCCUCAGGCUUAGGCAUGCAACUGCUGAAAGUGCCCUUUGAUCAGCCGGCAAUUGCACACCUUCGUUGCUUUGAGCGCAGCGACUCCCUCUCUCACUCUUGUUGAGUCCUUACCCAGAUACGCUUGAAAACAGGCACCAACCCAUUCUUUCCAUCUUGGCAUCUGCCCACACGCUUAGUCCUGGGAUGACCUGGAGCAGAGGCAGUGAAGGAUGAAUGCAUCUUGUACAGACUUGUUCCUGCUAGUUCUAGCCUGUCUCUCGCCUCAGAUCUAGCUUUUAAAUCCUCGAGUGAUUGGUUUUGGGUAGGAAUGUGUGGAUUGUUGGAUUGGAAUAAUUUUCUCCCUGGGUUUCUAGUGUUUAUAUAAAUAAAUAAAUAAACACACACACACACACACACACACACACACACACAUACAUGCAUACAGUAUAUGUAGGUUCUAUCAUUGAUAUAAACAGCAGGGCUUAUUUUAAAAAGUUGCCCUUACUUAAAGUUGAUACAGAAUAAAAAUGUGAGCUUUUCUUUUUUUUUAUUAUUAGUAUUACAAGUUAUAACACAGCCAAAAGGUCUAUAUCAAUGUUUUGCCAGGAAAGGGUCAAAACGGAAAAUUUGCAACAAAGACCAACUAGAAUAGAACCAGUGCAAACAGAAGCUGACAAAUAUAUGCCCCUCGUUGGGAGUUCAGCCCCUGGAAUGUUAUGUAGGACAAAAGGAAUGGAAGAGAUAUUUCAGUAACAUUUUGUUCUGUGUCAAAAACCUUCUGAAAUAUAAAUCUGCUGUGUAUUGGAGAAUGGAUACAGCAAUUGAUUCAAGUUGAAUAGCUUUCGUUUAACUAGAAUAUCCCACAGAAAGCAGUUCUUGUUCUGACAGCCAUAUUUUUGCUUUUCUUGACUUAAAGAAAAUUGAAUUCAUGUUUACAUAUUUUAUAGGAUUGUUUUAUGGACAAAGACACAGGUCAAAUCCCAUCCCAGCGCACUGGCUUUUGUUAUAGCAAAUAGAAACAUUUCUAAAUGAAAUAAAAACCAUUUCUAAAAGCCAUGGCCUGUGGCCCAUAAUAAGAAUACUACACUGAUAUUAUGAAACCAUUUACAACGAUCAAUAAUUCAGUUGUAGAUGUGCUUUUUUCUUUUCUUUACUUUUAAUUUUUAAUUUUUUUUGGGGGGGGGCAUUCCUUUGACAUGUGGAAGUUCCCAGGCCAGAGAUCUAACCUGAGCCACAGCAGUGACAACGCUGGAUCCUUAACCCACUGUACCACCAGGGAACUCCUCUAAGUCUUUAAAAAAAUGUUUUUAGUCUCUUGCCAACAUACAUAUCCAUGCAUGUACUUCACCGAUUUGCAUAGUAGAGUAGGAAGAAUAUGAAUGUGUAUAACAGGGGUCAACUUUAUUUUGGACUUUCUGGAACAGAUCACCUUUUUAUCCUCCCCAUGAUGGCUCCCUGAAUUGCUUCCAGUUACUGAAAUUUCGUAAUUGCCCACAACUCCAUAUGUGUCCGUCUAAGGAUCUUGCCAUGUCCACCAAACCCAGCCAAAAGCUGGUCAUCAGUGCUAGUGAUUUACAAAGCUGAGCUUCAGAAUUAAGAGCCCCCUGCAAAUAGGGUUCUGUUCUUCCAUUGCCACACUUUUCAAGGAGAAAUUAGGUGCUUGUUUUGUUUUUUUUUUUUUUUCAGUUCCCCAGAUCAUCCUGGGCUCAUUUGCAAAUAAGAUGUUCGGCAAGAACUAUUACUCCUGAAACUUUUUUUGCUCUUUGUGGCCUAUGCUUCCAUAGAAUCUGAGAUAUUCCAGGUGCAUUAAAGACUUACCUACAGAAAAUUUUAGGGGACUCGAUCAAAAGAACGCUUCUCUAGGAAUAAAGGUCUUUUUAGGUUUUAGUCCUCCCUUCAAGGUUCUUAACUGGAUAUGCCACAUAUUUUAUUUCCUUUCUGUAUGUACAUUGAUUUACUACUUGGGUUUACUGUUUUCUAUUUGGAAACAGCUUUUACAAACGAACGCAUCUCUUUACAAAUGUGAAUUCCAGCUGGCUCCAUUCUCACCUUGACUCUCGUUUCUGCUUAUUGCUAGACCCCAGCUUCUCUUUCUGCUUCUCUCCUAGGAUUUUAUCUUGCUCAGCGAUUCUUGUGUGUGAUUCUGAAUUCUAUGGUUUGCGUUUCCUGACCAACCUCUCCUUGCCUCUGAGUCCAUUUCCUGUACUUUAAGCUUUGGCAUUCCAUUCUCCGAUCCGGGUCAAAACUGAAACUUCUAGUGCUAAUAAGACUGGUCCUCGCCACACCAUUGAUUCUUUUUCCUCUCCGUUUCUUGUUUCUCACUCCACUGUUCUUUCUCAAAGAUGUACCCUGAUGUGUCGUUAGGCACGUCAUUAGGAUAUGGCAGCUAGACUUGUGGCGAGCAUGUCACAGUGGACACAAAUAUUGAACCAUGAUGCUGUAACCUGAAAUGAAUGUAAUGUUAUAUGUCAGACAUACCUCAAUUAAAAAGAAAAAAAGGAGGAGGGAAAAAAAAAAAGUACUUCACUUUGGUGGCCCUUCCUUAAGGGCUCCUGGUUUUUUCUCUUUCACUGAUACACUCUGCAGCUCCAAACUGCAACAGCCAUCAACAGGUCUUUGAUCAACAGGCCUUUGACAAAUUCGUUGUUUCUACACACGGUUUGCAAUAGUACACUCGCUGCUUAAAAAUAAUUAAGCUUCUCUUCGUGUUCUUUGCUGGGGGUCAGGAACUUGACUUGCUUUGCCAUCCCAGCAUGCAAGUGAAUCACAAAUGGGUCCUCUGAACCAAAUAAUUAAAAAUAGAGCAAAGUUUCUGAACCAGGCGGUUGGCAGAAAAGUCUGUACUUCCAUCUGUGCCUGGUUAGGAAAAUAUUUCGCGAUACUGAAAUAGCAUCAGCCUUGCUCUCUUUUGUGCGCGUGUGUAUCUGGACUGUAUGUCAUUUGGUGCUCUGAAGGUUUGUUGCUAGCUAAUCUUAUAUAUAUAUAUAUUUAUAAAGUCACUGGCAAGGAAAUGGGACAGCCAGUCCAGGUGUUCUGUGCAUACAUUCUUUAUUUGCUGGUUUCCAUGAAGGUUGGUCUCGUUCUUGCAUUUUCUCUUUAAUGAAAGUUUUCUCUGACCAUGUGUUUCAGAAAAUUAGAGGGCAUGGCAUUUUAACUUGGGAAUCUUUCUAUCUUUUGCUUCUCUCUCUGCAAAUAACCUUUGCUGCUAACUUUUAGGAGCUGUUCUUAGGUGAAAUGCUCAUGGAUUUAUUUCGGUUUGGAAUGUGGGCGAUUAGGAGUUUCUGCUCUCUGGAAGGCGAUAUAUGCCUGCGAUAUGUAUCAAACUCAUAAACACUUUAUGACUGAGGUACAGACAUGUGAGUGACUGAUUUUGGAGAAAUUUAAUCCUUCCACUCGGAUUUUCCUUUAUGCUCACUAGUAAUCAGUAACUCAUCAAAUAGGAUCAGUUCUGGCCAUUUCUUAACCUGUGCUGAUAUUUUAAAAAUGUAUUUUCUAUUUAUAAGAUUCUAGUUGCUCUGUAAAAUAAAGAUUGUUCCCCUCUGGUAUUAUCUAUUGCAACUAUCUCUCUUUAUCCAUGGAAACUCUUGUCUUCAGGUUGAUUUUCUUUCUUCCAGGAGGUCUAUUGCAUUAAAUAACAACUAGUGCUCAAUAAAUACACCAAAGGGAGAUUAGGAAUUAGUAAGAGAAAAGAAAGGGAAAUGUCUUAAUUUUAUGCCUUUAUUUCUCAGAGUUUCCUUAUGCUUCUGGAGACUUAGAGCCUAAGCAGACUCUCAAUAUUUUGAUAAUAGAAUUAAAUACUGAAAUCAACAGCUGGGGUUGACCAUACUCACAUUAACCGAAAUCAAGGAAGGAGGAAUAUCUGUAAUAAAUGUCAUUAUUAGUGUAGCAGCUGAUUCUUGAGUUGAGCUGUGAAGAUCAAGUUGAUGAUAGUGUGAACACUUAGGUAUUUUGUCAUUUAUGAAAUUUAAAAUGUAAUAGUUUGAUCGUUGAGGCAGUUUGUCAUUCAUGAAAUUCAAAAUUAAAUAGUUUGAUCCUUUGGGCAGUUUUUUUUUAUCAUUUGUGACCUUUAAGGAACUCUUCACAUCUUCUUGUCCAACCUCCUCAUUUUAUAUGCAACUUAAUUUUGUUUAUUUCUUGUAAACCUACUGUGUGCACAGUGCAAUGCUUGGGGAGGGGGGAGACAAUAAAGUUAAAUAAAUUGUUGGUCUGCGGCUUCCAACUGCUUUAUCUUUUGAUUUUCUUUUCAGUGUUACUUGGGGAGACGGCUUUUAAAGAGAUGUACCUGGGUUUUGUGAACCAUUGUUCUUUGCUAAUGUAAGAUAUUAGGAUGAAACAUAUUUUUUUUUUUUGCAUUCUUGAGUACUCAAAAGAGUGAAUGGUAGAUGUCUUUUUUAUUUUAAGUGAUUUUUAUUUUUUCCGUUAUAGCUGGUUUACAGUGUUCUGUCAAUUUUCUACUGUACAGCAAGGUGACCCAGUCACCCAUUCAUAUGUACAUUCUUUUUCUCACAUUAUCCUCCAUCAUGCUCCAUCAUAAGGGACUAGUUAGAAUUCCCAGUGCUAUACAGCAGGAUUGCUUAUCCUUUCCAAGAUGUCUUUAAACUUUAAUGUUCAUGCUGGAUUCAUUCUCUUAUGGGAGCUAGCUGACAUUGCUAAUACUAAUUAGUCUCCCUGGAAAGACUCCUGGCUACUCAGGGCACACUUUUCAUGUGGGAGUGUUCGGUUUGUUUCUCUCAUUGAUUUCUGCAUCUUCUAGACAGCAGCAUACAGAAUUUCAGUUUUAAAAACUGCCUUUGAUUGUCGAUUGGUUGAUUCAAUAAAUCAUUUGGUUGAAGAAUAUGUAUUUAUGAUCGAAAACCCAAGAAACAAGAAAUGACUCACGAAAGGUCAUUAUGCAGGGGAACUAUCCUUUUAAUAAUAGUAACGGCUAGCUGGCAUAUUGGGGAUUUGGGGUGCGUUGGUCACUGUGCUGAUCGCUUAAUCCUUACAGUAAACCUAGUUGGUGGUUAUUAUCUGCACUCUGUAGAUAAAGUAACUGGGUUAGUAGCUUGCCCAAGGUCACACAACUAGGAAGGCAUAGGACUGGGAUUCAACUCACGCCAUUUUAACUUCAAACCCUGUGCUCUUAGCUAAUGAUACUUCAUUGCUUACCGCCCAUAUCAUUGCGAGACUUGCAAAAUUGCUUUCUUAGGAGUUCCUCUGUGGCUUAGUGGGCUAAGGACCCAGUGUUGUCACUGCAGUGGCUUGGGUUACUGCUGCAGUGCGGGUUUGAUCCCUGGCCUGGGAGCUUCUCCAUGCUGAGAGCCUGGACAAAAAAAAAAAAAAAAAAAAAAAAA